rnacentral:rRNA from 1 species
AGCUCCAAUAGCGUAUAUUAAUGUUGUUGUGGUUAAAAAGCUCGUAGUUGGAUUUCGGCGGAUAUUGGCCGGUUUGAAUUGUUUCAAUACUGGUUAUAUUGUCCGUGUAUAUUGCCAGAAUUCAACGGGUGAACUUCGCCGUUUGUCCGUUUGGAGCUGGCAGGUUUACUUUGAAAAAAUUAGAGUGCUCAAAGCAAGCUUUUAUGCUUGAAUAUUCGUGCAUGGAAUAAUAGAAUAGGAAGUCGUUUCUAUUUUGUUGGUUUUCAGAAUCGACUUAAUGAUUAAUAGGGAUAGUCGGGGGCAUUUGUAUUCAAACGACAGAGGUGAAAUUCUUGGACCGUUUGAAGACAAACUACUGCGAAAGCAUUUGCCAAGAAUGUUU